rnacentral:lncRNA from 1 species
GAUUUUUUUCUACUUCUAUCAUGUUUAAUGUUGGAAAAAGAUUUUAAAAACUGGUUGAGUGCAUGUUACUUUUAGCUUCAGAAGAUAUCACGUAUAUUUAAGAGGUAUUUAACUAUUAUAAAUUAUUUUAAUGACUCAAAAAAUUAAAGUUCUAUCCCCUCUCAAAAAAAAGAAAGAAAGAAAGAAAAAGAAAUAAAGAAAAAGAAAAGAAAAAGGAAACCCACUGUAAAGCUCUGAUAUGCUCAAUGGCCAUAAUUGUUUAAAGUAGUAGCAGGCUUGAGAGUCCAAAAGGGUCUGCGAACUAGAAAUCAAUAGAGAUUGUCUGAUAUAAAGAGCAGAGAGAGAAGUGUGGUAAGAUAACCAGCCUAAGAAGGCAGGGACAGAAGAUUAGUAAAUCAUGAAAUGAGAGUCUCACAGGAGAGAGAAAGGUUCAUUGAAAGCCAGAUGUGGUCGUGUACAUAUGUAAUCCUCACACUAGAGAGGCAGAAGCAGGAGGACUGCUGUGAGGUGGAGGCCAGCAUGAUCUACAUAAUGUGUUCCAACCAGGUUACAUAAUGAGACCCAGUGCACAAAGGGGGGAAUGUAGGAAUGGGGGAUGGGAGAAGAAAACAGUGGUUAUGAAACUUCCCAUAUUUGCUGUUUUACUAAAGUAACUUAUGCAGCCACAAACCUGACAGAAACGAAGUUAGUUUAAAUGCUAGUAGGCCCACCUCUUGGUUAUCGUGGCCAAACCAUUAAGAGCCAAAUCCCAAAAGAAAUUCCUUGAGAACAGCAGAAGAAAGGUGGCUCAUUGUCGAGGUGAGCAUCGAUACAACUCAGCUGUCUUGGCAUCAGAAACCACUGGUGGCAGAAGGCAGAAGAGUGACAUACCCGCAGUGCAAGAAGAAAAUACUGUCAAAUAAGAAUUCUGUGUCAAACAAAACUGUUCUUAAAAGAUGUGAGCAAAGCAAAGACAUCUAGUCAUAAAGAGUGACUAGCAGAUGUGCCUGAUAAGAAUGAAUGAAGGGAGGACUUUUUGCACAUGUGGCACCAGAAGGUGACAUGGAACCACAGGAAGAAAGGAAGGCUUUGCUUGAUAAAUGAGCCCAUCAAUACAUUUAUAACAUUACCCCUGGUUUCUUUAAAAGAUAUAGCUUACAUGAGAACUAUUUUAAUGCCAUGCUGUUAGGUGUAUAGUACUAAUGACACAAAGGAAAAAAAGAUAAGAGUGAAUUACGCUGUAGCAAAGAUUCUAUAUGGGUCCUGUGCAUGAGGCUACUGUCUCUGAAUCAUAUGAGCUUUGCUUUGUUAAUGUGGAGAGUCUUGUUUCUUGGUGUCUAGUUGCUCUUCUGUCUCACACUUUUUCUCUUCUUCUUCUUCUUCUUCUUCUUCUUCUUCUUCUUCUUCUUCUUCUUCUUCUUCUUCUUCUUCUUCUUCUUCUUCUUCUUCUUCCCUCUUCCCUCCUCCUCCUCCUCCUCCUCCUCCUCCUCCUCCUCCUCCUCCUCCUCCUCCUCCCCCUCCUCUUCCUUCUCCUCCUCCUUCCUCCUCUUCCUUUUUCAGGGAUCUCUGAGCUCUAAGGUGAGGAAUUUGAUGGAGAUAUCCUUCGUAAAUCUGAGAGGACACUUUUUUCUAAGGAGCUGGUAAUUAUCAGUCCAUUUUGGAAACCUUUAAUAUAAAUGGCACCCUGGCAGGGGCCGCAUGGGUUUUGCUGGGCUGGGCUGGACUGGACUGUGUGUGAGUGUACUGUGACUUCUGGCCCCAUGGUAGUGAUCUCAUCACGUCUUCACAAUCAGGCUUUGUGACAACCAUAGAAAAGUCAGUGGGAGGCUUCCCUGUUGUCAACCUACACGAGGGCACUGUGUGAUCAUACCUAAAACACACAAUCAGUUCUUCCAGGGCUUUCCCAGCUGAGCUCUGGAUGAACCAGUAAGGGGUCCUCUGGUCCUUCAGACUACUGUGAGACUUGUAUUUCCGGGGGGUGUGUGAUAUGACAAAGAGCAGGAAACAGGAAACGGCCAGAGCUGCCACUUAGGUUUAUUAAAUCAUGUUUAUUAAAAAUCUUCCAGCAUCGAUGUCAGAGGAAAAAAAUCUGGAUCUCAAGACGACCAUCUUGAUCAAGAGAAAGAAUCACAGCUCUCGCCUCCUGAACAAGCUCGGAUGCAGUCCAGGCUCUGGCACUAAGCUUGACUAAGUGGUUUCGUUCAUCAUCCAAACCCAUUCCUUUCCAGUUUUUGUCCUUAGCCCUUUAUCUUUCUCAUUCUGAAAGUUGGAUUCCUUCAGGGUUCCAAAAGGAUUCAUGAACCUCAUGGAUCUUUACUCGUCCCACGUGAUUGUUUGGUGAUGAGUAAAAAGAAGUCUGCUGCUGGGUUUCUGAGUCAGGAAUCAUCCCCUUGUCUCUCAUUGGUCAGAAUUGAGUCAUCCAUUUGAACUGAGCAUGUGCUUAUUGGCCUAAACCAACCAUGGUUCUAUUCUGGAGCUAAGAGUGAAGGGUACUGCCUUCAAGAGUCUGUGGGAUGCGUGGCAGAGGUGUUACUAUCAGGAUGCAAGAAAUUUCUGCGGACUGAGAGGAUUAAACUAGCAAAAGCCCAUUACCCCAUCAACAGGAAACAUUGACUAUUAUGAAGUCAGUGGCAAUUAGGCCCUAGACUCCUGCCUUGUCAGGCUGGAGAGCCCUAGGAUGCUGAAGGAAGUUGGGAGGGAGUACCAAGAACACUGGGAUGCCUCUUAAAACCUAGUUGGCAGCCCAACAUGUAACUCCAGAACUACAGGGGGUAGAAAAGGCCAAUUGUGAAUAUCAUUCUGACAGAUACUGAAAGCCCUGGAGAGAUGUUUAUGUUAACAAGGAUGACAAAAAGGUAAGAUGAACUUUCCCAGACACUUUUGGAGAACCAGUCCUCACGGUGCAAAUGAUAGCCUUUGACAUCAUGGGAAGAACGAACACACAGGCAGAAACUACAGAUGAGGGUGCAACUCUUCCCGAUAUCUGCUACCUCCUUAGCCAUGACCUAGGCAUUGCGGGGAGCAGGUACAAGUCCGUGUAGUGUUUGAGAUUGCCUGAGAGGCUUCCGCAUCUAGGAACAAAUCCAAGCUUUGUCAUUCAUCUGCACCGACAUGUCAUACAGAACAUGAAGAUGCACUGUUUGUGAAAAAGAAGUGACACAUUAUAAAGAAUUAGCAGCCGGUUAAAUUAAAGCACACAUCCAAGUGACUUAACGUCACUAGAUAUCGUUCUUAGGCACAGUUUGUUGUCAUUGUUAGUAUUGUUGUUAACUCUAAGAGGCUCAAAAGAGAUGGUCUCUGUUCUUAAGGUGCCUGUCACAAGCUGUGUGACAGGUGGGUAAUGAAUGUCACAAGAGAGGCAGAAUUGAAAUGACAUAGCCUCAGGAAGAUGAAAUCCCUUCUCCGUAUUAGGCCCUGAGAAACUUCACCGAAUGCUGUGGGUAGGAUAGUGGUUAACUCGAAGUGACAUCUUUGGGGCCUUUUUUCUUGUGUCUUUGUAUAAAACCAUAUCUUAAGCUUCAGUACAGAGGUUGUAAGAGACAGACACAUGAGCCGCGUCAUUUGCACGAUCGUGUUCUCUAGAGAGAGUGAGAUGCCAUGUGUCUCCUCUGCUCUGCCAUCCCUCACACAGGAGAUGGUAUCAUUGCUGCCUGCCCACGUGGCAAAAGGAGAGGCUAUUUGAUUCAUGGUUUAGUUGGGGCUAUUAGAUUGUACUCCCAAAGGCAUUUGAUAAUCUGUUUAACUGAACACAGUCAUUUGUCUUGUUGCUGACUACUUAGCAGAUGGAAUUGUGUUUGGGUAAUUAUUAUAUGGACAUUAAUAAGACAUCUUUUAUUAAUUAGCACUCCAUGAGGUGCGCUUUUGAAAAUAGAAAAUUCUAGAUUGUUUGGAAAUAUUAAUCACUGAUGCUAGCUCUGUAACUAAGUAUUUGGAGGCUAUUCAUUCUGGAUUUGUUUCUCUAGAUUUUUUUUAAACCUCAAGAACAAAGGCUAUAGCUAAUACAUUGUACCCUGUACCACCCACGAAAAACCAAAACCAAAACC